AUUGAACGCUGGCGGAAUGCUUUACACAUGCAAGUCGAACGGCAGCACGGGAGCUUGCUCCUGGUGGCGAGUGGCGAACGGGUGAGUAACAUAUCGGAACGUACCCAGUCGUGGGGGAUAACUAUCCGAAAGGAUAGCUAAUACCGCAGACGUCUUGAGUGAGAAAGCGGGGGAUCGCAAGACCUCGCGCGAUUGGAGCGGCCGAUAUCGGAUUAGCUAGUUGGUGGGGUAAAGGCUCACCAAGGCAACGAUCCGUAGCGGGUCUGAGAGGACGACCCGCCACACUGGAACUGAGACACGGUCCAGACUCCUACGGGAGGCAGCAGUAGGGAAUUUUGGACAAUGGGGGCAAGCCUGAUCCAGCCAUGCCGCGUGAGUGAAGAAGGCCUUCGGGUUGUAAAGCUCUUUCAGCAGGAACGAAAAGGUCUGCUUUAAUAAAAUCGGCUAAUGACGGUACCUGCAGAAGAAGCACCGGCUAACUACGUG
rnacentral:rRNA from 1 species